UUAAACUUGCCACAUUUUUUGAACCCACUUGCCAUAUUAUUAACCAUUUACUUGCCUCAAAAAAAUAACUUGAUUGUCACUUUUUAAUGUUGAAUCGUACAAAAGCCUUGUAACAGAUUUCAUUAUAUAUGAUAUAAAAGUAUGUCAUUUGAGUAGAAUUUAACUGACCAACACAACAAAACACUACCACAACUACGUUUCAGAACAAUCAAAU
rnacentral:lncRNA from 1 species